rnacentral:rRNA from 1 species
AGUGAACGCUGGCGGCGUGCCUAAUACACGCAAGUCGAACGGAGUGGCGCACGGGUGAGUAAUGUAUAGCUAAUCUGACAUACACUAGAGGACAACAGUAGGAAAAGACUGCUAAUCCUCUAUAGUGUAGGAUGAGGCUAUAUUGUAACAGCUAGUUGGUGAGGUAAUGGCUCACCAAGGCUAUGACGCAUAAAUGGUCUGAGAGGAUGAACAGUCACACUGGAACUGAGUCACGGGCCGGACUCCUCCGGUAGGCAGCAGUAGGGUAUAGUGCUCAAUGGGCGAAGCCCUGAAGCAGCAACGCCGCGUGUUGGAUGACACUUUUCGAGGCAUAAACGCCUUUUGUUAGGGAAGCGGUACCUAACGAAUAAGCACCGGCUAACUCCGUGCCAGCAGCCGCGGUAAUAC